rnacentral:rRNA from 1 species
UUAAAAAUACACGUAUAAAAGACAUAAUCAAAAUGGCUAAUAAAAAUCUACCAAUAACAAACUUUAGAUACAUUAACUUUUGGUUGGGGUAACCACGAAGAAAAGAAAACCUUCGUCAAACAAACAAAGAGUAAACAAACUCCAAAACUAAAAACUAGAAAUGAUCCGGAAACCGAACAAGGAAAAAAGUUACCGCAGGGAUAACAGCGUUAUUCUCUUUAAGAGCCCAUAUUGACAAGAGAGUUUGCGACCUCGAUGUUGGACCGGGGCACCCCAGAGGGCAGAAGCCUCUAAUGGUGGGUCUGUUCGACCCAUAAAGCCCUACGU